rnacentral:rRNA from 1 species
GAUGAACGCUGGCGGCGUGCCUAAUACAUGCGAGUCGAGCGAACGGACGAGAAGCUUGCUUCUCUGAUGUUAGCGGCGGACGGGUGAGUAACACGUGGAUAACCUACCUAUAAGACUGGGAUAACUUCGGGAAACCGGAGCUAAUACCGGAUAAUAUUUUGAACCGCAUGGUUCAAAAGUGAAAGACGGUCUUGCUGUCACUUAUAGAUGGAUCCGCGCUGCAUUAGCUAGUUGGUAAGGUAACGGCUUACCAAGGCAACGAUGCAUAGCCGACCUGAGAGGGUGAUCGGCCACACUGGAACUGAGACACGGUCCAGACUCCUACGGGAGGCGGCAGUAGGGAAUCUUCCGCAAUGGGCGAAAGCCUGACGGAGCAACGCCGCGUGAGUGAUGAAGGUCUUCGGAUCGUAAAACUCUGUUAUUAGGGAAGAACAUAUGUGUAAGUAACUGUGCACAUCUUGACGGUACCUAAUCAGAAAGCCACGGCUAACUACGUG